rnacentral:rRNA from 1 species
GGAAUAUUGGUCAAUGGGCGCAAGCCUGAACCAGCCAUGCCGCGUGAAGGAUUAAGGCCCUCUGGGUUGUAAACUUCUUUUAUCAGGGAAGAAACCUCUCGAUUCAUCGGGAGCUGACGGUACCUGAGGAAUAAGCACCGGCUAACUCCGUGCCAGCAGCCGCGGUAAUACGGAGGGUGCAAGCGUUAUCCGGAUUUACUGGGUUUAAAGGGUGCGUAGGCGGAAAAUUAAGUCAGUGGUGAAAGCCCCG